GGGUUCGAUUCUGACUCAGGACGAACGCUGGCGGCACGCUUAACACAUGCAAGUCGAACGAGCGAAAGGUGCUUGCACCUCUAGCUAGUGGCGGACGGGUGAGUAACACGUGAGCAAUCUGCCUUUCGGUGGGGGAUACCAAUUGGAAACGAUUGUUAAUACCCCAUAACAUGACGAAGCCGCAUGACUUUGUUAUCAAAGAUUUAUUGCCGAAAGAUGAGCUCGCGUCUGAUUAGGUAGUUGGUGAGGUAACGGCUCACCAAGCCGACGAUCAGUAGCCGGACUGAGAGGUUGAACGGCCACAUUGGGACUGAGACACGGCCCAGACUCCUACGGGAGGCAGCAGUGGGGAAUAUUGCACAAUGGGCGAAAGCCUGAAUGCAGCGAUGCCGCGUGAGGGAAGAAGGUUUUAGGAUUGUAAACCUCUGUCUUCGGGGACGAUAAUGACGGUACCCGAGGAGGAAGCUCCGGCUAACUACGUGCCAGCAGCGGC
rnacentral:rRNA from 1 species